UACGUAGGGUGCAAGCGUUAAUCGGAAUUACUGGGCGUAAAGCGUGCGCAGGCGGUUGUGCAAGACCGAUGUGAAAUCCCCGGGCUUAACCUGGGAAUGGCAUUGGUGACUGCACGGCUAGAGUGUGUCAGAGGGGGGUAGAAUUCCACGUGUAGCAGUGAAAUGCGUAGAUAUCCGGAGGAACAUCGGUGGCGAAGGCGGCAUCCUGGACCGGUAUUGACGCUGAGGCGCGAAAGCUAGGGGAGCAAACGGGG
rnacentral:rRNA from 1 species